GAACCCUGAACGAGCAAUGCCGCGUGAGUGAGGAAGGUCUUCGGAUCGUAAAGCUCUGUUGUAAGAGAAAAACGGCACUCAUAGGGAAUGAUGAGUGAGUGAUGGUAUCUUACCAGAAAGUCACGGCUAACUACGUGCCAGCAGCCGCGGUAAUACGUAGGUGGCGAGCGUUAUCCGGAAUGAUUGGGCGUAAAGGGUGCGUAGGUGGCAGAUCAAGUCUGGAGUAAAAGGUAUGGGCUCAACCCGUACUGGCUCUGGAAACUGAUCAGCUAGAGAACAGAAGAGGACGGCGGAACUCCAUGUGUAGCGGUAAAAUGCGUAGAUAUAUGGAAGAACACCGGUGGCGAAGGCGGCCGUCUGGUCUGGAUUCUGACACUGAAGCACGAAAGCGUGGGGAGCAAAUAGGAUUAGAUACCCUAGUAGUCCACGCCGUAAACGAUGAGAACUAGGUGUUGGGGGAAUAACUCAGUGCCGCAGUUAACGCAAUAAGUUCUCCGCCUGGGGAGUAUGCACGCAAGUGUGAAACUCAAAGGAAUUGACGGGGGCCCGCACAAGCGGUGGAGUAUGUGGUUUAAUUCGAAGCAACGCGAAGAACCUUACCAGGCCUUGACAUCCCUUGCAGAGGUAUAGAGAUAUAUCCGAGGUUAUCAAGGAGACAGGUGGUGCAUGGUUGUCGUCAGCUCGUGUCGUGAGAUGUUGGGUUAAGUCCCGCAACGAGCGCAACCCUUGUGAUAUGUUACUAACAUUGAGUUGAGGACUCAUAUCAGACUGCCGGUGAUAAACCGGAGGAAGGUGGGGAUGACGUCAAAUCAUCAUGCCCCUUAUGGCCUGGGCUACACACGUACUACAAUGGCGUCUACAAAGAGCGGCAAGCCUGUGAAGGCAAGCGAAUCUCAUAAAGGACGUCUCAGUUCGGAUUGAAGUCUGCAACCCGACUUCAUGAAGCUGGAAUCGCUAGUAAUCGCGAAUCAGAAUGUCGCGGUGAAUACGUUCUCGGGCCUUGUACACACCGCCCGUCAAACCAUGGGAGUUGGUAAUGCCCGAAGCCGGUGGCAUAACCCUUCGGGGAGUGAGCCGUCGAAGGCAGGACCGAUGACUGGGGUUAAGUCGUAACAAGGUAUCCCUACGGGAACGUGGGGAUG
rnacentral:rRNA from 1 species